UACGGGGGGGGCAAGCGUUGUUCGGAAUCAUUGGGCGUAAAGCGCGUGUAGGCGGCCAGGUAAGUCCGUUCUGAAAGCCCGGGGCUCAACCCCGGGAGGCGGAUGGAUACUGCUUGGCUCGAGUCCGGAAGAGGCGAGUGGAAUUCCCGGUGUAGCGGUGAAAUGCGCAGAUAUCGGGAGGAACACCAAUGGCGAAGGCAGCUCGCUGGGACGGUACUGACGCUGAGACGCGAAAGCGUGGGGAGCAAACAGG
rnacentral:rRNA from 1 species